UUAACACAUGCAAGUCGAGGGGCAGCACGGGAGUAGACAAUACAACGUGGUGGCGACCGGCGCACGGGUGAGUAACGCGUAUGCAACCUACCUAUCAGAGGGGAAUAACCCGGCGAAAGUCGGACUAAUACCGCAUAAAACAGGGGCACCGCAUGGUGAUAUUUGUUAAAGAAAUUCGCUGAUAGAUGGGCAUGCGUUCCAUUAGGUAGUUGGUGAGGUAACGGCUCACCAAGCCGACGAUGGAUAGGGGAACUGAGAGGUUGGUCCCCCACACUGGUACUGAGACACGGACCAGACUCCUACGGGAGGCAGCAGUGAGGAAUAUUGGUCAAUGGGCGGGAGCCUGAACCAGCCAAGUCGCCGUGAAGGAAGAAGGAUCUAUGGUUCGUAAACUUCUUUUGCAGGGGAAUAAAGUGCAGGACGUGUCCUGUUUUGUAUGUACCCUGAGAAUAAGGAUCGGCUAACUCCGUGCCAGCAGCCGC
rnacentral:rRNA from 1 species